CUGCAUGAUUUCUCAUACAGACUAGACUAUAUCUUAAACUCUUUACGAGUCUAUUAACAUUUAGUCGUUGAACUGCAUCCAUUAAAGGAUUUGGCUGCGAGUUUAUCCAAUUCAUUGAAUUUUUACCAUUUGGUAUCAAUAAAUUAUUGUGGAUUUUACCGCAAUUUGAUAAUAUUGCCAAGAAUUUCUUGACUAGCAAAAACAUGUAUAUGUUUGCUAUUU
rnacentral:ncRNA from 1 species